UACAGAGGGUGCGAGCGUUAAUCGGAAUUACUGGGCGUAAAGCGUGCGUAGACGGUUACAUAAGUCGGGUGUGAAAGCCCCGGGCUCAACCUGGGAAUUGCAUUCGAGACUGCGUAGCUAGGGUGCGGAAGAGGGAAGCGGAAUUUCCGGUGUAGCGGUGAAAUGCGUAGAUAUCGGAAGGAACACCAGAGGCGAAGGCGAUGCUUUAGGUCAGUACCGACGCUCAGAUGCGAAAGCAUGGGUAGCGAACGGG
rnacentral:rRNA from 1 species